rnacentral:lncRNA from 1 species
UUAACAAACACUCGAAAAUCCACCUAUCCCUAGGUCCAUGUCAAGUGUCUCAACCACACUAAUCAACUCACACUAGGGAAUUGAACUAUCCCUAUGUUUGAUGCCAUAGUGUCUCAAUUACACUAAUUCUCAUGCAAUAUGCCACGAUUAGGGAAACUCACCUAUUCCCUAUGCUCAAUGCCAUAAGUGUUUCUAUUACACUAAGUUCCAAUGCCACUCGUCAUGUUAAUAUAUUGUUUACAUGCCACUCGUCCAAGUUAUAGUGUUUUCUAUACACUAGUUCGCAUGUCACUAGUUUUCAUCAUCAAGUCCGAGUUCACC